UACGUAGGGUGCAAGCGUUGUCCGGAAUUAUUGGGCGUAAAGAGCUCGUAGGCGGUCUGUCGCGUCGGCUGUGAAAUCCCGGAGCUCAACUCCGGGUCUGCAGUCGAUACGGGCAAACUGGAGUACUGCAGGGGAGACUGGAAUUCCUGGUGUAGCGGUGAAAUGCGCAGAUAUCUGGAGGAACACCGGUGGCGAAGGCGGCAUCCUGGACCGGCAUUGACGCUGAGGCGCGAAAGCCAGGGGAGCAAACGGG
rnacentral:rRNA from 1 species